GACGAACCGUGCGAACGUUGUUCGGAAUCACUGGGCUUAAAGGGCGCGUAGGCGGGCCGCCGCGUCCGGGGUGAAAUCCCCCCGCUCAACGGGGGAACGGCCUCGGAUACGGGCGGUCUGGAGGCGGGUAGGGGCACGCGGGAACUGUGGGUGGAGCGGUGAAAUGCGUUGAGAUCCACAGGAACUCCGGUGGCGAAGGCGGCGUGCUGGACCCGAUCUGACGCUGAGGCGCGAAGCCAGGGGAGCGAACGGGA
rnacentral:rRNA from 1 species